UCGAGUUACCAACUCCAAACCUUUGUGAACCUACCACUGUUGCUUCGGCGUCCGCCCCGGGGCGCGGCUCCUCCUGGAGCAGUGACCCGGAUGGCCAGGUGGGCGCCGGGGGACCAAAACUCAGUAUCUUAUAGUGGACUUGUGAGUGGAAAAAAGCAAAUCA
rnacentral:misc_RNA from 1 species